rnacentral:misc_RNA from 1 species
GAUGAAGAACGUAGCGAAAUGCGAUACUUGGUGUGAAUUGCAGAAUCCCGUAAACCAUCGAGUCUUUGAACGCAAGUUGCGCCCGAAGCCAUUAGGCCGAGGGCACGCCUGCCUGGGUGUCACACACCGUUACCCUCGCGCCAACGUCCAUCGUUGGCCGCGGCGCGGGGCGUGCGCUGACCUCCCGCGAGCGGGGUCUCGUGGUUGGUUGAAAAUCGAGUUCGCGGUCGAGGGUGCCGUGAUGAAAUGGUGGAUGGGCGACGCCCGAGGCCAAUCACGCGCGACUCUGUCCGGCUCGGACUCGUGGACCCCUUCGGCGUCUCCGGACGCUCUUUGGCGAGACCUCAGGUCAGGCGGGGCUACCCGCUGAGUUUAAGCAUAUCAAUAAGCGGAGGA